CUUACAAAGGCCUGUGUAAUGCAGUUUCUUCCCAGGCCUUAUCUCGCUGAAUUAGAAUUUCUGCUCUGCCUUGUCCUACAUGGGCCUAGAGCUGCAAGGCCCAAAGUCCUGCCUUGUGUUCUCAAGGGCAGACAGGCCACACAGUGUGGGGCUUCCAGCUCUUUGGGCACCUAAGAAACAACUCGCUCUGCACUGGUGUUUUACACCUUAUCAGGAACAUGUCUUACAAAGGCCUGUGAAACGCAGUUUCUUCCCAGGCCUGAUCUCUCUGAAGUAGAACUUCUGCUCUGCCGUGUCCUACAUGGGCCUAGAGCUGCAAGGAACAAAGUCCUGCCUUGUGUUCUCAAGCGCAGACAGGCCCCACAGUGUGGGGCUUCCAGUUCUUUGGGCAGCUAAGAAAUAACUCUCUCUGCAUACGGCUCUUUCAGCCUACCGGGAACAUGUCUUACAAAGGCCUGUGAAACGCACUUUCUUGCCAGGCCUGAUCUGGCUGAAGUAGAUCUUCUGCUCUGCCGUGUAAUAUAUGGCCCUAGAGCUGCAAGGAACAAAGUCCUGUCUUUUUCUCUCAAGAGCAGACAAGUGCCUCAGCCUCCAGCUUCCAGCUCUUUGGGCAGCUAAGAAACAACUCGCUCUGCAUAGGGCUCUUUCAGCCCACCAUGAACAUGUCUUACAAAGGCCUGUGAAGCGUAGUUUCUUCCCAGGCCUGAUCUGGCUAAAGUAGAACUUCUGCUCUGCUGUGUCCUACAUGGGCCUAGAGCUGCAAGGCCCAAAGUCCUGCCUUGUGUCCUCAAGGGCACACAGGCCCCACAGUGUGGGGCUUCCAGCUCUUUGGGCACCUAGGAAACAACUCGCUCGGCACUGGUGUUUUACAGCCUCGCGGGAACGUGUCUUACAAAGGCCUGUGAAACGCAAUUUCUUCCCAGGCCUGAUCUCCCUGAAGUAGAACUUCUGCUCUUCCGUGUCCUACAUGGGCCUAGAGCUGCAAGGAACAAAGUCCUGCCUUUUUCUCUCAAGGGCAGACAACUCCCGCAGCCUCCAGCUUACAGCUCUUUGGCAGCUAAGAAACAACUCGCUGUGCACAGGUGUUUUACAGCCUACCGGGAACAUGUCUUACAAAGGCCUGUGAAACGCAGUUCCUUCCCAGGCCUGAUCUCGCUGAAGUAGAACUUCUGCUCUGCUGUGUCCUACAUGGGCCUAGAGCUGCAAGGAACAAAGUCCUGCCUUGCGUUCUCAAGGGUAGACAGGCCCCACAGUGUGGGGCUUCCAGCUCUUUUUGCAGCUAAGAAACAACUCGCUCUGCACAGGGCUCUUUCAGCCUACUGGGAACAUGUCUUACAAAGGCCUGUGAAAUGCAGUUUCUUGCCAGGCCUGAUCUGGCUGAAGUAGAACUUCUGCUCUGCCGCGUCAUAUAUGGCCCUAGAGCUGCAAGGAACAAAGUCCUGCCUUCUGUUCUCAAGGGCAGACAAGUCCCGCAGCCUCCAGCUUCCAGCUCUUUGGGCAGCUAAGAAACAACUCGCUCUGCAUAGGGCUCUUUCAGCCUAUUGGGAACAUGUCUGACUAAGGCCUGUGAAACGCAGUUUCUUCCCAGGCCUGAUCUCGCUGAAGCAGAACUUCUGCUCUGCCGUGUCCUACAUGGGCCUAGAGCUACGAGGCAAAAGGUCCUGCCUUGUUUCCACAAGGGAAGAGAACUCCCUCAGCGUCCAGCUUCCAGCUCUUUGGGCAGCUAAGAAACAACUAGCUCUGCUUAGGGCUCUUUCAGCCCACCGGGAACAUGUCUUACAGAGGCCUGUGAAACGCAGUUUGUUCCCAGGCCUGACCUCGCUGAAGUAGAACUUCUGCUCUGCCGUGUCCUAUAUGGCCCUAGAACUGCAAGGAACAAAGUCCUGCCUAGUCUUCUCAAGGGCAGGCAACUUCCUCAGCCUCCAGCUUCCAGCUAAUUUGGCAGCUAAGAAACAACUCGCUCUGCACUGCUGUUUUACAGCCUACCGGGAACAUGUCUUACAAAGGCCUGUGAAACGCAGUUUCUUCCCAGGCCUGAUCUCGCUUAGGUAGAACUUCUGCUCUGCCGUGUCCUAUAUGGCCCUAGAGCUGCAAGGAACAAAGUCCUGCCUUCCGUUCUCAAGGGCAGACAAGUUCCUCAGCCUAAAGCUUCCAGCUCUUUGGGCAGGUAAGAAAAAAUUUGCUGUGCACUGGUGUUUUACAGCAUACCGGGAACAUGUCUUACAAAGGCCUGUGAAACGCAGUUUCUUCCCAGGCCUGAUCUCGCUGAAGUAGAACUUCUGCUCUGCCGUGUCCUACAUGGGCCUAGAGCUGCAAGGAACAAGGUCCUGCCUUGUUUCCACAAAGGGAGAGAACUCCCUCAGCGUCCAGGUUCCAGCUCUUUGGGCAGCUAAGAAUCAACUGGUUCUGCAUAGGGCUCUUUCAUCCUACCGGGAACAUGUCUUAUAAAGGCCUGUGAAACGCAGUUUCUUCCCAGGCCUGAUCUCGCUGAAGUUAAACUUCUGCUCUGCCGUGUCCUGUAUGGCCCUAGAGCUGCAAGGAACACAGUCCUGCCUUGUCUUCUCAAGGGCAGACAAGUCCCUCAGCGUCCAGCUUCCAGCUCUUUGGGCAGCUAAGAAACAACUCGCUCUGCACUGGUGUUUUACAGCCUACCGGGAACAUGUCUUAUAAAGGCCUGUGAAACGCAGUUUCUUCCCAGGCCUGAUCUCGCUGAAGUAGAACUUCUGCUCUGCCGUGUCCUAUAUGGCCCUAGAGCUGCAAGGAACAAAGUCCUGCCUUGUCUUCUCAAGGGCAGACAAGUUCCUCAGCGUCCAGGCUCCAGCUCGUUGGGCAGCUAAGAAACAACUCGCUUUGCACUGUUGUUUUACACCCUAACGGGAACAUGUCUUACAAAGGCCUGUGAAACGCAGUUUCUUCCCGGGCCUGAUCUCGCUGAAGUAGAACUUCUGCUCUGCCGUGUCCUAUAUGGUCCUAGUGCUGCAAGGAACAAAGUCCUGCCUUGUCUUCUCAAGGGCACACAAGUUCCUCAGACUCCAGCUUCCAGCUCUUUGGGCAGCUAAGAAACAACUCGUUCUGCACUGCUGUUUUACAGCCUACCGGGAACAUGUCUUACAAAGGCCUGUGAAACGCAGUUUCUUCCCAGGCCUGAUCUCGCUGAAGUAGAACUUCGGCCCUUCCGUGGCCUACAUGGGGCUAGAGCUGCAAGGAACAAAGUCCUGCCUUAUGUUCUCAAGGGCAGACAGGCCCCACGGUGUGGGGCUUCCAGCUCUUUGGGCCCUUAGGAAACAUCUCGCUCUGCACUGGUGUUUUACAGCCUAGCGGGAACGUGUCUUACAAAGUCCUGUGAAACGCAGUUUCUUCCCAGGCCUGAUCUCGCUGAAGUAGAACUUCUGCUCUGCCAUGUCCUACAUGGGCAUACAGCUGCAAGGCACAAGGUCCUGCCUUGUUUCCACAAGGGGAGAGAACUCCCUCAGCGUCCAGCUUCCAGCUCUUUGGGCAGCUAAGAAACAACUAGCUCUGCAUAGGGCUCUUUUAGCCUACCGGGAACAUGUCUUACAAAGGCCUGUGAAACGCAGUUUCUUCCCAGGCCUGAUCUGGCUGAAGUAGAACUUCUGCUCUGGGUGUGCUCCAUUGGCCUAGAGUUGCCUGGCCCAAAGCUCUGCCUUGUUUGCAAAGGGGCAGAGAGGCCCCAAAGCAUCUUGCUUCCAGCUCUUUGGGAAGCUAAGAAACAACUCGCUCUGCACAGUGCUCUUACAGCCUACCGGGAACAUCUCUUGCAAUGGCCUGUGAAAUGCAGUUUCUUGGCAGGCCUGAUCUGGCUGAUGUCGAUCUUCUGCUGUGCCGUGUGCUACAUUGCCCUAGAGCUCCAAGGCACAAAGUCCUGCCUUGUUUGCUCAUGGGGAGAUAGGCCCCAAAGCAUCUUGCUUCCAGCUCUUUGGGAUUCUAAGAAACAACUCACUCUCCACAGUGCUCUUACAGCCUACCAGGAACAUCUCCUACAAAGGCCUGUGAAACGCAGUUUCUUUCCAGCCCUGAUCUUGCUGCGUUAAAACUUUUGCUCUGAGCCGCGUCUUGGCAGAUAUUCGAGGAGUCUUAUUUACUCUCCUUAUGGAUGAGGAAAAGUCAGCUGUUCUAUUAAAUGCUAGAGAAGAAGCAUAUUAUGAAUAUGACCCAAUAUCAGCCAUUGGCAGACUUAGUGAACAGCCUCUGCCAGAGACCGAUGCUGUGUGAAUCCCAGUGAUCCUGAUGAUCAUGAAGAGGAAGACAAGAAGAUGAAAAAGCAAGCCACCCUGUUUUGUGUGGCCCUUCAAGUCUGUUCAAGGUAACCUGAGGAAGAGAAGGAGUGAGUGACCUCAGCCUCCAACCAGUGACCAGAAAGCCACCAACAAAUUUUGGUGUGUGUACUGCAAACUGGAAGGGCAUUGGCAGCAGGACUGUCCCAACCAUCGCCUGAGAGUUAAGAGAUUGAACAGGGUCAAGCCACGGCAUCUUCUCUUGACCACGGAUGAGAUGUGACAGGGCCAUGUGGCUCCCCAGUUGGCUCUAGGGGUGACCUUGGCAGUAGGAGGAGAACAUGUUAAAAUUUUUGGUCAAUACUGGAGCCACAUUCUCGGUGCUGAAUACCAAAAAGAGAAACCUUUCAAAAAGUUAAAGAUGUAGCCUCAAAGGUGUAUCAGGCAAAGGGGAGACCAAAAGUUUUCUGGAGCCCCUUGACCUAUGAAACAGGAUAAAAAGUACUUAAGCGUUUCUUUCUGUAUGUACCAGAAUGCCUUGUUCCCCCUCUAGGGAGGGACAGGCUAUCUAAGCUAGGGGCCUCAAUAAGCUGGGGAAAAGAUAAAGUAGAGAUCCAAGAUCCCAAAAAUUUGGGAAUUGGGCUUAUGGCCCUAUUACAGGAUACACCAGCACCUGAGAAGGAAGAGAUUCCACUAAAUAUUUUAAGUUAAGCUAACUCAGAAUUAUAGGCACAAGGACAGGUGGAGUGAGCAGCCAGUGCCAUGUCAGUAAAGGUAAAACUGAAGCAGGCAGUUUGCUGGCCCCGGGUAAGACAAUACCCCCCCGAAGCCAGAAGCCAUAAAGAUGAAUCUUUCUUGUAAUCAAUACGUUUUUAGAACUGGGGAAUGUAGGUUUGUUCAAGACCGUAGUGCUGUCAAUGCUGUACAGUACUGGAUUUAUAAUAGUAAAUAUCCUUUUUGUUUCUGGCACAGAGAUCCAAAAACUCUUGUAAUUUCCCACAUAAGAGCCAUAGAGUCAUAUUUUGUUAUAAUAAUUACUUUAGUCCUCAGUUCCUGAAAUUACUCCAGAGCAAUAAAGGGGAAAGAGCUGUCUUUUGUUAUUCCUAACAAGACCCUUUCAACCACAUUGAAUUUAUGUUAAUAAGGUGACAUUUGGAAAGCCCCUAAGGGUGGAGGCUGGUGUGUGGGAAAAUAGGGAAAGCUAUUUUGUGAUUCAGGGUUGGGAUUUUCAGCCCCAUCCCCCUCUCCAUAGGUCCAGGAUGAGGAGAGGGCUGAAGAUUGAGUUCGAUUGUCAAAGGCCAAUGACGUAAUCAACUGUGCCUAUGUAGGGGGGUCUCCAUUAAUAUCCAAAGGGAUGGGCUUCAGAGAGCUUCUGGGUUGGUAAACACCCAGGGAGAUUUGGGGAGAGUGGCAUGCCCAGAGAGGGUCUGGGAGCUCCAUGUCCUUGCCCCACGUAUUUUAC
rnacentral:lncRNA from 1 species